CAAGGAAUAGUUUAGUAGAAUUUCAGCUUUGGGUGUUGAUGGUGGAGCUAGAGCUUCUUCCUUGA
rnacentral:tRNA from 1 species